UUAAUGCAAAGGUUUGUUCAGUUGAUAAUGUAGAAUUUGAAAGUGUGGUUGCUUCUCCUGAGAUUGAAGUGUACUUUUAUGGCCCUGUUGGUCAGUCUAACUUGACUGCAACUUACAGCAAAGGGCUUGAUGGCUAAAACUCCAGGUGAAAUUUUGUUCUCUUAUUACACAAGAUUUAUCUUUGGUCCAGUGGACAUGAGCUUAAGUGUUACUUUCUCUUUUCUUUGUCCUUCAACUACUUAUGUUGAGCUUUGAACAGUCUGAAUGCAUGCUAAGAGAGAGCCUAUGCAAUUUCAAGGAGUCCCAGAAGAAACUGAAGUCUUUUUGGAGCUCUGCAAGUUCAACCAUAUCAAGCUGACAAGAUAAACAGGAAUCUUGAGUCUAACUUAUUCAACCCCUAGGGUGGGCACUGGAAACGACAAGGAUGCAGCACAAGAUGCUUGCCCAAAUGUUGCUGGAAGGGGCACAUUUAAGGUAUGAGUUUCAUGGUUCUGAAUCUUUUCUUUUCUGCCUGAUUACCAAUUUUGAAAGAAUUUCAGGUGUCUUAGUUCUGUCCCAGUUUAUGUUCUUUUCUGAAAAUGGGUAGUUUCGAAGAUAUCUGUUUGCAUCGUUAGGUUGUUAAGGGAAAAA